AGGGAAUCUUCGGCAAUGGACGAAAGUCUGACCGAGCAACGCCGCGUGAGUGAAGAAGGUUUUCGGAUCGUAAAGCUCUGUUGUAAGAGAAGAACGGGUGUGAGAGUGGAAAGUUCACACUGUGACGGUAUCUUACCAGAAAGGGACGGCUAACUACGUGCCAGCAGCCGCGGUAAUACGUAGGUCCCGAGCGUUGUCCGGGUUUAUUGGGCGUAAAGCGAGCGCAGGCGGUUAGAUAAGUCUGAAGUUAAAGGCUGUGGCUUAACCAUAGUACGCUUUGGAAACUGUUUAACUUGAGUGCAGAAGGGGAGAGUGGAAUUCCAUGUGUAGCGGUGAAAUGCGUAGAUAUAUGGAGGAACACCGGUGGCGAAAGCGGCUCUCUGGUCUGUAACUGACGCUGAGGCUCGAAAGCGUGGGGAGCGAACAGGAUUAGAUACCCUGGUAGUCCACGCCGUAAACGAUGAGUGCUAGGUGUUAGGCCCUUUCCGGGGCUUAGUGCCGCAGCUAACGCAUUAAGCACUCCGCCUGGGAAGUACGACCGCAAGGUUG
rnacentral:rRNA from 1 species